rnacentral:rRNA from 1 species
AUUGAACGCUGGCGGCAGGCCUAACAACUGCAAGUCGAGCGGAGCGGCGGACGGGUGAGUAAUGCCUAGGAAUCUGCAUGGUAGUGGGGGAUAAAGUCCGGAAACGGGCGCUAAUACCGCAUACUAUCAGAUGAGCCUAGGUCGGAUUAGCUAGUGGGUGGGGUAAAGGCCUACAAAGGCGAGGAUCCGUAACUGGUCUGAGAGGAUGAUAAGUCACAUUGGAACUGCGACACGGUCCAGAUUCCUACGUGAGGCAGCAGUGGGGAAUAUUGGACAAUGGGCGAAAGCCUGAUCCAGCCAUGCCGCGUGUGUGAAGAAGGUCUUCGGAUUGUAAAGCACUUUAAGUUGGGAGGCGUUACCAACAGAAUAAGCACCGGCUAACGUCGUGCCAGCAGCCGCGGUAAUUC